rnacentral:rRNA from 1 species
UACAGAGGGUGCGAGCGUUAAUCGGAAUUACUGGGCGUAAAGCGUGCGUAGACGGCUAUCUAAGUCGGGUGUGAAAGCCCCGGGCUCAACCUGGGAAUUGCAUUCGAGACUGAAUAGCUAGGGUACGGUAGAGGGAAGCGGAAUUUCCGGUGUAGCGGUGAAAUGCGUAGAUAUCAGAAGGAACAUCAAUGGCGAAAGCGGCUUCCUGGACCAGUACCGACGUUCAGGCACGAAAGCGUGGGGAGCAAACAGG